rnacentral:rRNA from 1 species
AGUACGUCAAGGUAGUAGGUUUAGUAUCAGUCGGCUGAGACGACGCUGGCGGCGUGCUUAACACAUGCAAGUCGAACGGUGACGGAGAGCUUGCUCUCCUGAUCAGUGGCGAACGGGUGAGUAACACGUGGGCAACCUGCCCCAGACUUCGGGAUAACGCUUCGAAAGAGGUGCUAAUACCGAAUACGAACCUCCCUGGCAUCUGGGAGGUUGGAAAGUUUUUCGGUCUGGGAUGGGCCCGCGGCCUAUCAGCUUGUUGGUGAGGUAACGGCUCACCAAAGGCGACGACGGGUAGCCGGCCUGAGAGGGCGACCGGCCACACUGGGACUGAGACACGGCCCAGACUCCUACGGGAGGCAGCAGUGGGGAAUAUUGCGCAAUGGGCGAAAGCCUGACGCAGCAACGCCGCGUGAGGGAUGACGGCCUUCGGGUUGUAAACCUCUUUCAGCAGGGAAGAAGCGAAAGUGACGGUACCUGCAGAAGAAGCACCGGCUAACUACGUG